ACGGUAUAGGGGCAACUCUAUAUAGUGGCGCAAGGGUUAGUAAUACAUAGAUAAUCUACCUCCGACCUGGGAAUAACGGCUGGAAACGGCCGCUAAUACCGAAUGAGGUGGUGCAAGGCAUCUUGCACUUAUCAAUGAGGGGGAUCGAAAGACCUUUUUGUUGGAGAAGAGUCUAUGGGAUAUCAGCUAGUUGGUGAGGUAAGAGCUCACCAAGG
rnacentral:rRNA from 1 species